rnacentral:lncRNA from 10 species
CACACGGUGAGGAGACUAUGUGAACACGAAGAAGCCUACUGAGAUGGUUAAUAUUGAGUGUCAAUGUGAUUGGAUUGAAGGAUGCAAGGUGCUGUUCCUGGGUGUGUCUGUGCGGGUGUUUCCAAAGGAGGUUAACAUUUAAGUCAGCGGAUGAAGAGAGACAGACCCACCCUCAAUUUGGGUUGGUACCAUCUAAUCAGCUGCCAGCGAGCCAAGAGAAAAGCAGGCAGGAGAAGAUGGAACAACACACUUGCUGAGUCUUCCGGCCUUUAUCUUUCUCCCAUGCUGGAUCCUUCCUGCCCUGGAACAUCGGACUCCAAGUUCUUCAGCUUUUGGACUCUUGGACUUACACCAGUGGUUUGCCAGGGGCUCUUGGGGCCUUUGACCACAGCCUGAAGGCUACACUAUCGGCUUCUCUAUUUUUGAGAGAACCCUAAUACACUCAUCUACAAGCCAAGGAGAGAGGCCUGUAACAGGUAUCUCCUCCCAGUCCUCAGAAGGAACCAACCCUGCCAACACCUUGACUUCAACCUUCUGGCCUACAGAACUAUGAGACAAUAAAUUUUGUUGUUUAAG